rnacentral:rRNA from 1 species
GAUGAACGCUGGCGGCGUGCCUAAUACAUGCAAGUCGAGCGAACAGAUGAGGAGCUUGCUCCUCUGACGUUAGCGGCGGACGGGUGAGUAACACGUGGAUAACCUACCUAUAAGACUGGGAUAACUUCGGGAAACCGGAGCUAAUACCGGAUAAUAUAUUGAACCGCAUGGUUCAAUAGUGAAAGACGGUUUUGCUGUCACUUAUAGAUGGAUCCGCGCCGCAUUAGCUAGUUGGUAAGGUAACGGCUUACCAAGGCAACGAUGCGUAGCCGACCUGAGAGGGGUGUCGGGCCACCCUGAACCUGGGACCCGGUCCGAACCCUACGGGAGGCAGCAGUAGGGAAUCUUCCGCAAUGGGCGAAAGCUUGACGGAGCAACGCCGCGUGAGUGAUGAAGGUCUUCGGAUCGUAAAACUCUGUUAUUAGGGAAGAACAAAUGUGUAAGUAACUAUGCACGUCUUGACGGUACCUAAUCAGAAAGCCACGGCUAACUACGUG